rfam:Gossypium arboreum cultivar AKA8401 contig_6868_1, whole genome shotgun sequence.
GACUCCUUGUACAAUGGAUAAGGCGCUGGUCUACGGAACCAGAGAUUCUGGGUUCGAUCCCCAGUGGAGUCG